UCUGGCUUAUAGCCAAGCGGUCUCACUAGAGUGCCCAACUUAAUGAUGGUAACUAGUGACACGGGUUGCGCUCGUUGCGGGACUUAACCCAACAUCUCACAACACGAGCUGACGACAGCCAUGCAGCACCUGUCUCGGCGUCCCCGAAGGGAACCCCUACUUUCAUAGGGUAGCGCCGGAUGUCAAGUCUGGGUAAGGUUUUUCGCGUAGCAUCGAAUUGAACCACAUACUCCACCGCUUGUGCGGGCCCCCGUCAAUUUCUUUGAGUUUUAAUCUUGCGACCGUACUUCCCAGGCGGGGUACUUAAUGCGUUAGCUGCGACACCGAUACAAUUAGGUAUACCGACGUCUAGUACCCAUCGUUUAGGGCGUGGACUAC
rnacentral:misc_RNA from 1 species